UAGAAUAUAAUAAUAUUACAAUCUGUAUGUAUCUGUAUCAUUCAUUUCUAUUUUGAAAUACACAAAAUGAAAGUGUUCAAUAGUCAUAAUUACAUUUUUAGCUUUGAAAUUUUGUACGUCAGACGUAUUUGGCUAACAUUCAAAUAAAUACACGUGUUUUACUUAUCUAGUGAAAUACGUCAACCCAGUACAUCGAAAUUUAGGUAACGAUGUAAAAGUACAAAAACUCAAUAUUUCGAUUGGUUUAAAACAAUUUGCUUAAAUUUUAUUGGGUACAUGGUAGAGGAAUACAGGUAGUCGCAUCGACACAGCUGCUGGGACAAUGAACUGUCAAACCGAUUUUGAUAUUGAACAUCGUGAAUGAAAAAUUAUUGAAAUUUGUAAAAAUUGUUGAAAAAUACAUAUCAUUACAACCUCCGAUUUGCUUCGUAUAAGAAAACAUAUAAAAAAUCGACUUACUUGUGACAAAGGACUUAAAAAAUUUUGACAUAUCAAUGUUCCCAAGCGUUGAUGCAUCUACCUAUAUUCUUCUACCAUGCAGGGGUAAAAGCGAGUUGAGCCAUUUUAGAAUAAUUCAAGUAACAAGAAGUGUUGUUAUACAACAAACGUUACAGCAACCACAUACAAAAUUGUUUUUAUACGUAAUGCAAUAAUACCAAAAAUUCAGAUAAACCAUUAAUUUCAAAAAAAAAAAAUAUUUCAAAAAUCUUAUUUUUCGGAAUUUGGAUUAUAAAAUGUAAAAUGCAGAAGAUUAGUUCUUAAGAUAUUUAAUUUUAAACGCUACCACAUCAUUCCCCUGAAUGUGUAGUUGUUAGCUGUAGGUCUAAAUAUCUCAACACUUUAAGCAAUUGUUAGAAAAUCGUGGAAAAGGCAACAUCCCUUUAAAAUUGAAGCCAAACUGAAUAUAUACAUAAAGUAUUCUAUAUUUUGCAAUUUUAGGAAACAUGAAAUAUAUGACUAUAUCACGUAAUGUGGCUGCGGAAAAAGUUUCCGCACCAUUGAUGUUUUGUUAGAUAUUAUUAGGCAGAAAUAUGUUCACAUUACCCUGCAGUGAUAUUUUAUUUCAAAAUGUGUAUACCUAUUGUAUAUCAAGAAAUGGAAAUAAAUAAAAAACUUUAUAUCGAAUUUGACACAAGUACUACUAUAGAGUCAAAUCAGCUGGUGUUUGCUACCAGUAAUAAUUAUACCAUGGUGGCUUGUAAAACAGUGACGUGCCACUGCCGACCAUGUCUCCAAAAAAUCGCCUUUUCUAAAAAAACCUGAAGGAAAUUAUCAACGUUGUAACUAUAGAUAUCCAAACUACAGAAUGACUCAGAUGCAUUUUCAACUCUGCGGCAGAAAAAAAAAUUAUUUAAAAACACGAAAAAAUCAUCAACUGCAUAGCUGCGGGCACUAGUUGAAUAUAUGGAGGAAAAUCCUGAGUUCACCAGAGGAGUGCCAAUUUUUGGAAGCAACAGGCAAUCCCUUGAAGACCACUGGAAAAAAUUGUGUGUACAGAUGGGGUCUCAACACACAAACUGCCAAACAACAAUAACACCAACGUAAUGAGCCAAUGUACCAACCAACAAAAGUCAACACAUGGAACAUCAAACCAUCAUCACAAAAAAUAAUUUAAAAAAAUUUUUGAAUUAUAUAUUUUUAUUUUAAUAAAAAAUAUGUUAUUUUUACAA